rnacentral:rRNA from 1 species
GAUGAACGCUGGCGGCGUGCCUAAUACAUGCAAGUCGAACGAAACUUCUUUAUCACCGAGUGCUUGCACUCACCGAUAAAGAGUUGAGUGGCGAACGGGUGAGUAACACGUGGGCAACCUGCCCGAAAGAGGGGGAUAACACUUGGAAACAGGUGCUAAUACCGCAUAACCAUGAACACCGCAUGGUGUUUAUGUGAAAGGUGGUUUCGGCUACCGCUUUCGGAUGGGCCCGCGGCGCAUUAGCUAGUUGGUGGGGUAAAGGCUGACCAAGGCAAUGAGGCGUAGCCGAGCUGAGAGGGUGAUCGGCCACAGUGGGACGGAGACACGGCCCAAACUCCUACGGGAGGCAGCAGGAGGGAAUCUUCCACAAUGGGCGAAAGCCUGAUGGAGCAACGCCGCGUGGGUGAAGAAGGUCUUCGGAUCGUAAAACCCUGUUGUCAGAGAAGAAAGUGCAUGAGAGUAACUGUUCAUGUUUCGACGGUAUCUGACCAGAAAGCCACGGCUAACUACGUGCCAGCCGCCGCCGUAA